rnacentral:misc_RNA from 1 species
UCCGGCUUGACGCCGGCAGUCCCCCGAGAGUCCUCAGCAUUACCUGCUAGUAACACGGGGCAAGGGUUGCGCUCGUUGCGGGACUUAACCCAACAUCUCACGACACGAGCUGACGACAGCCAUGCACCACCUGUGCACUGGUCCCGAAGGAGGGCCGUAUUUCUACGGAUUUCCAGUGCAUGUCAAGCCCUGGUAAGGUUCUUCGCGUUGCAUCGAAUUAAACCACAUGCUCCGCUGCUUGUGCGGGGCCCCGUCAAUUCCUCUGAGUUUUAACCUUGCGGCCGUACUCCCCAGGCGGUCGACUUCACGCGUUAGCUUCGUUACUGAGAGUGUCAAACCCCCAACAACCAGUCGACAUCGUUUAGGGCGUGGACUAC